rnacentral:misc_RNA from 1 species
AUAUAUCCUUAUUUAUUUAAGUUCUAUUGCUAUUAUUCUUUGGAUCGUCUCUUUUAUUGUUGUAUAUUUGGAGCAAAAUUACUAUGGGAAAGACCACUUGUUUUGCCCCUCAGUGCUACAUGUUUUUGUUACUGGUGGAACAAGAAACAGAAUCUUUUUAAAUUCUCUCUUUUUGUUUUUUCUAUUUAUUUUUUUUUAAAGAAAACUUUUAGCAAACUGUUGCCUAGAGACAUGAGGAA